GACGAACGCUGGCGGCGUGCUUAACACAUGCAAGUCGAACGGACAGGCCCCUUUGGAGCUACUUGCAUGACGAACGGGUGGGUAACACGUGGGUAACCUGCCCUAGACUUCGGGCUAACUACCGGGAACUGGGGCUAGUACCGGAUAGGUAUCAUUGCUGCAUGUUAGGUGUUGGAAAGCUUGUGCGGUUUUGGCUGGACUGGCGGCUUAUCAGCUUGUUGGGGGGGGUAUUGCUUACUAAGGGUGUGACGGGUAGACGGCCUGGGAGGGCGAACGGCCACAAUGGGACUGCGAUACGGCCCAGAAGCCUAUGGGAGGCAGUAGUGGGGAAUAUUGCACAACGGGCGGACGCCUGAGGCAGCAACGCCGCGUGCGGGAUGACGUCUUUCGGGUUGAAAACCGCUGUCAGCAGGGGCGAAGCUUGUGGUGACGGUACCUGCAGAAGAAGCACCGGCUAACUACGUG
rnacentral:rRNA from 1 species